rnacentral:rRNA from 1 species
AGUGAACGUUGGCGGCGUGGAUUAGGCAUGCAAGUCGAGCGAGAACCGUAGCAAUACGGGGACAGCGGCGAAAGGGACAGUAAUGUGUAGGUACCUACCCCCGGGUUCGGGAUAGCUGCGGGAAACUGCAGGUAAUACCGAAUAAUGUCUCCGGACCAAAGGUGUGAUUCCACCUGGGGAGGGGCCUGCAUCCUAUUAGCUUGUUGGUGGGGUAACGGCCUACCAAGGCGACGAUGGGUAGCGGGUGUGAGGGCAUGACCCGCGUCAUUGGGACUGAGACACAGCCCAGAAACCUACGGGUGGCUGCAGUCGAGAAUCUUCGGCAAUGGGCGAAAGCCUGACCGAGCGACGCCGCGUGCGGGAUGAAGGCCUUCGGGUUGUAAACCGCUGUCGUAGAGGAGGAAAUGCAAGGGGGUUCUCCCCUUUGCUUGACCUAUUCUAGGAGGAAGUACGGGCUAAGUUCGUGCCAGCAGCCGCAGUAAAAC